GGAUGAUGGGUUCAAUCUUUCACGAGGAUACUUUCUUUAAGAUCAGAUUUAAUAAGCGGGCUUAGGGUAAGACGGCCUGGGGUAAGCUGGUUCAGCUGGGUAGGCAGGCUUCUCAGUGGUGGUCGGCUUGGGGUAGGCAGGCUUGGGGUAGACAGGCUCGACUGGGUAAGAAGGCUUAGGGUAAGCGGGCUCAGCUGGGUAGGCCGGCUUGGAAUAUGCGGGUUUUUCAGUGGAUGUUGGCUUGGGGUAAGCCUUUUCAGUUGUGUAAACGGGCUUGGAAUAAGCGUCUUCAGUUUGAUAGGCUGGCUUAGGGUAGGCCGAUUCCACUGGAGAUGCUGAUUUGGGAUAAGCCGAGGUAGCGGCGGGUUUGUAUUCGUCGUAUUUGG